rnacentral:rRNA from 1 species
GAUCCUGGCUCAGGAUGAACGCUAGCUACAGGCUUAACACAUGCAAGUCGAGGGGCAGCAUCAUCAAAGCUUGCUUUGAUGGAUGGCGACCGGCGCACGGGUGAGUAACACGUAUCCAACCUGCCGACAACACUGGGAUAGCCUUUCGAAAGAAAGAUUAAUACCGGAUGGCAUAAUUUUCCCGUCCAUGGGAGUAAUUAUUAAAGUAAAUUUACGGUUUGGUUCGAUGGGGAGUGCGUUCCUACUUAGGUCG